UACGAAGGGGGGCUAGCGUUGCUCGGAAUCACUGGGCGUAAAGCGCACGUAGGCGGAUUGUUAAGUCAGGGGUGAAAUCCUGGAGCUCAACUCCAGAACUGCCUUUGAUACUGGCGAUCUUGAGUCCGGGAGAGGUGAGUGGAACUCCGAGUGUAGAGGUGAAAUUCGUAGAUAUUCGGAAGAACACCAGUGGCGAAGGCGGCUCACUGGCCCGGUACUGACGGCUGAUGUGCGAAAGCGUGGGGAGCAAACAGG
rnacentral:rRNA from 1 species